UAGGGAAUCUUCGGCAAUGGACGAAAGUCUGACCGAGCAACGCCGCGUGAGUGAAGAAGGUUUUCGGAUCGUAAAACUCUGUUGUUAGAGAAGAACAAGGACGUUAGUAACUGAACGUCCCCUGACGGUAUCUAACCAGAAAGCCACGGCUAACUACGUGCCAGCAGCCGCGGUAAUACGUAGGUGGCAAGCGUUGUCCGGAUUGAUUGGGCGUAAAGCGAGCGCAGGCGGUUUCUUAAGUAUGAUGUGAAAGCCCCCGGCUCAACCGGGGAGGGUCAUUGGAAACUGGGAGACUUGGGUGCAGAAGAGGAGAGUGGAAUUCCAUGUGUAGCGGUGAAAUGCGUAGAUAUAUGGAGGAACACCAGUGGCGAAGGCGGCUCUCUGGUCUGUAACUGACGCUGAGGCUCGAAAGCGUGGGGAGCAAACAGG
rnacentral:rRNA from 1 species